AGGCCUGUGGAAAAGCUGGAGAGGCUGGAAAGAAAGAGGAAACGGGAAUGUUCAACAGUGGAGCAACAGGCUUCUUGCCAUGCUAAUGAUGAUCCAGUGACACCAGAGGAAGCAGUGGAAGAAGCUGAGGCUAUGGUCCCUGAAGCAGAUACAACAGUCUCAGUGAG